rnacentral:rRNA from 1 species
AACGAACGCUGGCGGCAUGCCUAACACAUGCAAGUCGAACGAGACCUUCGGGUCUAGUGGCGCACGGGUGCGUAACGCGUGGGAACCUGCCCUUAGGUUCGGAAUAACUCCCCGAAAGGGGUGCUAAUACCGGAUAAUGUCUCCGGACCAAAGAUUUAUCGCCGUUGGAUGGGCCCGCGUUGGAUUAGCCCGUUGGUAGGGUAAAAGCCUACCCAGGCGACGAUCCAUAGCUGGUCUGAGAGGAUGAUCAGCCACACUGGGACUGUGACCCGGCCCAGACUCCUACGAGAGGCAGCAGUGGUGAACAUUGGACACUGGGCGAAAGCCUGAGCCAGCAAUGCCGCGUGAGUGAUGAAGGCCUUAGGGUUGUAAAGCUCUUUUACCCGGGAUGAUAAUGACAGUACCGGGAGAAGAAGCACCGGCUAACUCCGUG